UAGAAAUGUGGUUUCGCAGUCUUCCGCGCAACUUGAUGCGUACUGGAUUUUCUGUUAUCUAUUGACCUGUACAGCUAUUACAUGCUAUCACAAAAAUUGAAUAAUAUAGCCCGCGGACUCGUGAACUGAAUGCCCGGCGCUUUUGGGUUUCGUUUUUUGGGUAUACUGAUCAUUGGUAAUAGUUAGAGAAACCGCUUUUUCGUAUACGUAGUCGUGGGAUACCCCUUUGCUUGGCUUCCCGGUGAAUCGAGGAGGGAAAAUUACCUUUC